rnacentral:rRNA from 1 species
UACGUAGGGUGCAAGCGUUAAUCGGAAUUACUGGGCGUAAAGCGUGCGCAGGCGGUUGUGCAAGACCGAUGUGAAAUCCCCGGGCUUAACCUGGGAAUGGCAUUGGUGACUGCACGGCUAGAGUGUGUCAGAGGGGGGUAGAAUUCCACGUGUAGCAGUGAAAUGCGUAGAGAUGUGGAGGAACACCGAUGGCGGAAGGCAGCCCCCUGGGUCAAGAUUGACGCUCGAUGCACGAAAGCGUGGGGAGCAAACAGG